rnacentral:snRNA from 1 species
ACAUUUACCCAGCAGGGGAGGUGCCAUGAUCGUGAAGGUGGUUUUCCCAGGGCAAGGCUUAUUCAAUGUAUUCCAGGUGUGCUGACUGCUGCGAUUUCCCCAAAUGUGGGGCACUCAACUGCAUAGUUUGUGGUAGUGGGAGGAAAAAAAGGUCUAGCCUUUUU